GACGAACGCUGGCGGCGUGCCUAAUACAUGCAAGUAGAACGCUGAAGGAAGGAGCUUGCUCUUUCCGGAUGUGUUGCGAACGGGUGAGUAACGCGUAGGUAAUCUGCUUGGUAGCGGGGGAUAACUAUUGGACACGAUAGCUAAUACCGCAUAACAGUAGAUGUUGCAUGAUAUUUACUAAAAAGGUGCAAUUGCACCACUACCAGCUCGACCUGAGUUGUAUUAGCUAGUUGGUGAGGUAACGGCUCACCCAGGCGACGAUACGUAGCCGACCUGAGAGGGGGGUAGGCGGCACUAGGGCGGAGACGCGGCCCAGACGACUAAGGGAGGGAGCAGAAGGGAAUGGGAGGCAAUGGACGGAAGUCUUACCGAACAACGCCGCGUGUGUUAAGGAGGUGUUCGGUUCGUAAAGAUCGGUUGUGAGAGAAGAACGUGUGUGAGAGUGGAAAAUUCAAAAUGUGACGGUAUCUGACCAGAAAGGGACGGCUAACUACGUG
rnacentral:rRNA from 1 species